rnacentral:rRNA from 1 species
GGGGGGGGGGGGGGGGGGGCGGGGGGCGGGCGGGGCGGGCGGGGGGGCGGGGCGGGUGGGGGGUGCGCGGGUGGCGCGCGGGGGAGUGACACGUGUGUAACCUGCCCGUGACUUGGGGGGAACUUCAGGAAACUGGGGCGAAUACCGGAUAUGAGCUCCUGCUGCACGGUGGGGGAUGGAGAGAGUCGGCGGUUGGGGCUGGACUCGCGGCUUAUCAGCUAGUUGGUGGGGUAGUGGCUUACCACGGCUUUGACGGGUAGGCGGCCUGAGAGGGUAAACGGGGUCAUUGGGACUGAGAGAGGGCGCAGAAGGGUACGGGAGGCAGCAGUGGGGAAUAUGGCACAAUGGGCGGAAGCGUGAUGCAGCAACGUCGCGUGCGGGAUGCCGGCCUUUGGGUUGUAAACAGAUGUCGACGGUGACGAAGCGUGAGUGACGGUAAUGGGUAAAGAAGCACCGGCUAACUACGUG